UACGUAGGUGGCAAGCGUUAUCCGGAAUUAUUGGGCGUAAAGAGCGCGCAGGUGGUUAAUUAAGUCUGAUGUGAAAGCCCACGGCUUAACCGUGGAGGGUCAUUGGAAACUGGUUGACUUGAGUGCAGAAGAGGGAAGUGGAAUUCCAUGUGUAGCGGUGAAAUGCGUAGAGAUAUGGAGGAACACCAGUGGCGAAGGCGGCUUCCUGGUCUGCAACUGACACUGAGGCGCGAGAGCGUGGGGAGCAAACAGG
rnacentral:rRNA from 1 species